UCGGGUAUGGUGCAGGGUGCACAGCUCCUCCGCGUUACAUAACUCAACCUGAAUGGAGCAGGCCGGGGUUCGACUCCCUGUACCCGAA